GACCUAAUAGUGAAAUUGGCAUCGCACCCACUCCUGCUGGUGCGAAUCCGUGCGUGGCUAUGGAAGUCCCUCGUUCGAACCGAGGUUAGGUUG